rnacentral:snRNA from 1 species
AGUAUUGUGCAGUGGUAGUAUUGUAGCUGAUGAGGUUUAUCUGAGGUGUAAUUACUGCUAAUUAAAAUAUCAGAUAUUCCUGGGUUUCAGCACCAAAAAAUCCAGAUAUUCUCAUCCUAAAACUACUUA